GAAAAAGUAGCCCUCCUUCAGCCCCCUACCCCUGGGCCUCAGGACCUGGACGAACAUACGCGUGCCUUGGGGGAAUUCUGAUUGUUUCUGUGUGCAAGUGUUACAUACACCAGAAGUAGGAUUAGGGACAGACUCACAGUUAUCCCAGGGCAAUUGCAUGUAAUUACAGCACCACAUCAGGGGCUGGACUAAUGACCUUCCAAAACGCCUUCCAGCCCUCCUUUCCUAUGCUCCUAUCAUCACGGGGCAACAUGGAAGCAGGCAUCAGCCUGGGAUGGAUGCAGACAGAUGGUAGAUGGGAUGUGUCUGCACCAAAGAGCGUUAUAAUCUUGGUGCCAGCCUGUCUGCCAAGAAAGCAUUCUGGACGUGUGCUGCACAGUAGAGCUCAGCCAUAGGUCAGGCAUCUAUACUUAAGGAUACAGGAAUGCUUCAAAUGAAGACUUAUGCCUGUUGAGGGUUAAAUGCAUCCAAAUAUACAGCACCAGCUAAUGGCUUGUUCUGCCCCCUUCUCCCUGAAGCGGCUAUAGCUUAGGGUCCAGCCCUUCUCUCUGUCAGGCCACCUCCGGCAGCUUGCCCUGUUACCGUUUGCUCUGAGAGCUGGCUGCUUACGCUUGCUCUUAGAGCCAGUAGCACUGAUGUAUGAUGUUGAUAUGAAGCCCGUGUAGGGAGACCAGAGGACCCGCAGCAAGGCGUGGACAGGAACGAGACACGGCAUUGGCGAGGUCGGGCCCUGAGUGCCAGGCUUCAGUUCCGGAGGCCAAAGAUCCGGCUCUGUCUUAGGCCACAGAGAAAAAGAGUGUGGUGCCUCUCAUCCAAUUCCCUUGUGACCAGAUCAGAUGGUGAAAACAAUUUGCCGCCAUGGUUUCCAUGCUCCGGAGGCAG
rnacentral:lncRNA from 1 species